GGGCCCGCACAAGCGGUGGAGCAUGUGGUUUAAUUCGAAGAUACGCGCAGAACCUUACCAACACUUGACAUGUUCGUCGCGACUUUAAGAGAUUAGAGUUUUCGGUUCGGCCGGACGAAACACAGGUGCUGCAUGGCUGUCGUCAGCUCGUGUCGUGAGAUGUUCGGUUAAGUCCGGCAACGAGCGCAACCCACAUCCCUAGUUGCCAGCAGUUCGGCUGGGCACUCUAUGGAAACUGCCCGUGAUAAGCGGGAGGAAGGUGUGGAUGACGUCAAGUCCUCAUGGCCCUUACGGGUUGGGCUACACACGUGCUACAAUGGUGGUGACAGUGGGUUAAUCCCCAAAAGCCAUCUCAGUUCGGAUUGGGGUCUGCAACUCGACCCCAUGAAGUCGGAAUCGCUAGUAAUCG
rnacentral:rRNA from 1 species